CAGGACGAACGCUGGCGGCGUGCCUAAUACAUGCAAGUCGAACGAAACUUUCUUACACCGAAUGCUUGCAUUCACCGUAAGAAGUUGAGUGGCGGACGGGUGAGUAACACGUGGGUAACCUGCCUAAAAGAAGGGGAUAACACUUGGAAACAGGUGCUAAUACCGUAUAUCUCUAAGGAUCGCAUGAUCCUUAGAUGAAAGAUGGUUCUGCUAUCGCUUUUAGAUGGACCCGCGGCGUAUUAACUAGUUGGUGGGGUAACGGCCUACCAAGGUGAUGAUACGUAGCCGAACUGAGAGGUUGAUCGGCCACAUUGGGACUGAGACACGGCCCAAACUCCUACGGGAGGCAGCAGUAGGGAAUCUUCCACAAUGGACGCAAGUCUGAUGGAGCAACGCCGCGUGAGUGAAGAAGGUCUUCGGAUCGUAAAACUCUGUUGUUAGAGAAGAACACGAGUGAGAGUAACUGUUCAUUCGAUGACGGUAUCUAACCAGCAAGUCACGGCUAACUACGUGCCAGCAGCCGCGGUAAUACGUAGGUGGCAAGCGUUGUCCGGAUUUAUUGGGCGUAAAGGGAACGCAGGCGGUCUUUUAAGUCUGAUGUGAAAGCCUUCGGCUUAACCGGAGUAGUGCAUUGGAAACUGGAAGACUUGAGUGCAGAAGAGGAGAGUGGAACUCCAUGUGUAGCGGUGAAAUGCGUAGAUAUAUGGAAGAACACCAGUGGCGAAAGCGGCUCUCUGGUCUGUAACUGACGCUGAGGUUCGAAAGCGUGGGUAGCAAACAGGAUUAGAUACCCUGGUAGUCCACGCCGUAAACGAUGAAUGCUAGGUGUUGGAGGGUUUCCGCCCUUCAGUGCCGCAGCUAACGCAAUAAGCAUUCCGCCUGGGGAGUACGACCGCAAGGUUGAAACUCAAAGGA
rnacentral:rRNA from 1 species